CCUACGGGAGGCAGCAGUGGGGAAUAUUGGACAAUGGGCGAAAGCCUGAUCCAGCCAUGCCGCGUGUGUGAAGAAGGCCUUCGGGUUGUAAAGCACUUUCAGUGGGGAAGAAAGCCUUGGGGCUAAUACCCUCGAGGAAGGACAUCACCCACAGAAGAAGCACCGGCUAACUCCGUGCCAGCAGCCGCGGUAAUACGGAGGGUGCGAGCGUUAAUCGGAAUUACUGGGCGUAAAGUGCGCGUAGGCGGUCUGAUAAGCCGGUUGUGAAAGCCCCGGGCUCAACCUGGGAACGGCAUCCGGAACUGUCAGGCUAGAGUGCAGGAGAGGAAGGUAGAAUUCCCGGUGUAGCGGUGAAAUGCGUAGAGAUCGGGAGGAAUACCAGUGGCGAAGGCGGCCUUCUGGACUGACACUGACGCUGAGGUGCGAAAGCGUGGGUAGCAAACAGGAUUAGAUACCCUGGUAGUC
rnacentral:rRNA from 1 species